UCUUUGCACGCGUAUUGUAAACACAAGUCUGCGCAGAUUUAUUUAUUUAUUUAUUUAUUUAUUAAAUUCGGACGCGUCGCCCGGACGUCCCGGUCGGUUUUAAAUGGGAUCUCGGAUAAGGCGCGCCACUCGGGCAAUUUUAUUUCUUCCGUGCACUUUCCCUUUUUAACGCCGUUUUCAUUGGUCGAUGACGUGUAGGCGCAAGCGCUAACGUUUUAUGUACGCUAUUCGUUGGCGUUUCCAUCUCUUCACUGUUACCAACCUGCGGUUCGGAAUGGAAAUGCACCGGUUGUCAUGGCAAUGGCAGCGAGAGGUUGCUUCGCUUUCAUUCAUGUCUUCAGCGACAGAGCGAAUCUGGUCUAUCUCAGUCAUCAUGCCAAGCGGCGGUCAUGAGUCUACUUAAUAAGUUGCCGAAAUUUACUCUUUUGCGUCUUUCCAACGCAUUAGGUAAAGCGGGAAGAACGCUUUCCGAAUGCCCAUUGGUGAGUCUCGCCUGUUUACUAUUAUCGUUUGGUCUUUUAAUUGUCCUGGCAACACUUAUUUUAUGCCAACGACCAUUAAAAAGUUAUCGCGGCUACGCGAUCGUACUUUUUUUUUGUACUAAUCGCUACCGAUGAUAGAUAAAUAAUUUUUUUUUUUUUUUUUGUUUGAUUCGGCCAAAUAAAAUAAAUGUCGUG
rnacentral:lncRNA from 1 species